CGGAGGACUGAGAAGGUGAGGCAGUUCUGAACCAUGCUGCCUUCCACUGGUUAAGACCUCCGAGAGCGAAGGCCUGCAGAGGCAGAGGAAGUCCCUCUGCCGCCCCCAGAGGGGCAGCACUGUGUUGGCCGACACUUG
rnacentral:snoRNA from 8 species